UACGUAGGUGGCAAGCGUUGUCCGGAUUUAUUGGGUUUAAAGGGUGCGUAGGCGGUCCUAUAAGUCAGUGGUGAAAUACAUCCGCUCAACGGUUGAGGUGCCAUUGAUACUGCAGGACUUGAGUACAGACGAGGUAGGCGGAAUUGACGGUGUAGCGGUGAAAUGCAUAGAUAUCGUCAAGAACACCGAUAGCGAAGGCAGCUUACUAGACUGUAACUGACGCUGAGGCACGAAAGUGUGGGGAUCAAACAGGAUUAGAUACCCUGGUAGUCCACACUGUAAACGAUGAUUACUCGAUGUUGGCGAUACACGUCCAGCGUCUUAGCAAAAGCGAUAAGUAAUCCACCUGGGGAGUACGCCGGCAACGGUG
rnacentral:rRNA from 1 species